rnacentral:snRNA from 1 species
GGCUGUGAGGGCGAUCUGGCUGCGACAUCUGUCACCCCGUUGAUUGCCAGGGUUGAUUCGGCUGAUCUGGCUGGCUAGGCGGGUGUCCCCUUCCUCCCUCACCGCUCCAUGUGCACCCCUCCCGAAGCUGCGCGCUCGGUGGAAGAAGACGACCAUCCCAGAUAGAAGGAGUGUACCGUUCUUCGGUCAAGGGUAUACGAUAGCUGCGCUCCCCUGCUAGAACCUCCAGGCUUUACUAAUACAAAUCUCUUGGUGUCACAAAUGCAGCUAUUAGUAGAUUGUUUGCUGAGGAAUUAGUCCAGAGAAGGAAGGAAGGAAGGAAGAGUACAGUUUUAAGCACAAUAACCAGGUAAUUU